ACUAUGCUCCCGGCACUCACUCUCCUCACCCCUCUCAGCUAUCGCCUCGCCGUCGUCGUCGCCGUCACCGGCUGCCGGGCUCCUCUCAGCUACCGUCUCUCCCCUCACCUCUACAUCGCCGGUCGACGCCCUCCUCUCAGAUCUCGCCUCUCCCCUUGCCUCUCCGCCACAUCACCUCGCCUUGGCGCCGCGGCCUCGAUUCGCUUCUAUGUUCCACCAAAAAUGGAACCUUUUGUUCAAAGCAGGCGACGAAUCGCCGGAUCUGGCGUCAGCGGGACGGAUCCGGACAACAACCACUAAUUGGGGGCUGCAGUGGCUGGACGGCGGUGGCCGCAGUGUCGAGCGUCGACCUGUCGGCGCCUAACGCGGGGGCGGCCGUGGCAAUCGCGUGCCGUCGCAUGGGAUUCUUCAAGGCGGCCAACCACGGCGUGUCGGCGGCCUUGACCGAAGCGCUGGAGGCCCGUGCCGAGGUGUGGCGUCGGCGUUGCAACAAGAGCAUCGGCAGCAACUGGUCGUCCAUUCAUUUUUCCACUUGAUCCGGUGGUCUAAUUGCCCAGUUUUUCUGCUGAUUGUUUUUCAUUAGCAAAAGAUGCUGGUUUUAAGGUGGUUGCGCACAUGAUGCCAAAUUUACCUAAUGUUGGAGUUGAGAGAGAUAUGGAAAGUUUAAGAGAAUUUUUUGAAAAUCCAGCAUUCCGAGCAGAUGGUCAAAAGAUCUAUCCAACUCUGAUUCGUGGAACUGGUCUUUAUGAGUUGUGGAAAACUGGAAGGUAUAGAAACUACCCACCAGAGCUGCUAGUGGAUAUUGUAGCGAGGAUUCUGUCGAUGGUACCGCCAUCGACACGAGUCUAUCGGGUCCAAAGAGAUAUCCCUAUGCGUCUUGUUACUUCUGGUGUCGGGAAAGGUAACUUGCGUGAGCUUGCUUUGGCUCGAUGGAAGACCUGGACUUGAAAUGCAGAGAUGUCAGAACCCGUGAGGCUGGAAUUCAGGAUAUCCAUCACAAUAUCAGGCCUGAUGAAGUAGAGCUUGUCAGGCGUGAUUAUGCCGCAAAUGACGGCUAGGAGACCUUUCUCUCAUAUGAGGAUACAAGACAGGUACUCAACAGCUUGUCAGCCUAUUCAUUUCAUCGCUGGGAUGUAAAAAUAUGCUAUGGUUUAUGUUGUGUUCCUGAAUAGGCAUAUUUUUUCCAAUGUAAUUAUGCUCAAUUUCCUUUUACUAGCGGGACCAAUGCCCUCACCAUUGGAUAUCAAUGUCAGUAGUAGGAGUAGUAAGAGUAGGAGUUGGAGUAGUAGGAGUAGGAGUUGGAGUAUUUGGCGUAGGAGUAGUUCUUUCUAUCGCUAUGGACAGAUGUAGUGCAGGUGACCUUCUUGCGACUCAUUGACUAGUGGAGGUACUCGAGAUCCAUGGUGACCAUUAGUAGUGUGAUGGAUUAAACCAAAUAUUCUAAAUUAAACAUGCAAAUAAAUUCCACAGCUUCAAAUAAACUCCAACAAAUCCAUAUAAAUACCAAAAAAUUCAAAUUAAUCCGAAUUCCUUUCCUUUCCUUAUUUUCACAAGACAUACACACAUACUCGAGUUGACAUACACACACAUAUUCGAGUUGACAUACACAUACACAUAAACAUAAACAUCCCCUCUAUUGCCCUUCUCCUAUAAGGGCCCGAGUCUCAGCAACUAGCUCAGCACUACAAGAUAGAAAGAUUAUUGGCCUUCCCUCAUUCUGACGCCGAUCCGUGUGCAAGUGUGGGAGGUUGUAAUUAUUUCCUCCCUUGUUUUUCAUGACCUCAACCAUAACCUCUUAUAGGGUCACAAAACUUCUGAACAACUUGUCGACCUCAUAAUUCUCGAACUCUUCCUCCACACCUUCUACCAAUUCUCGGAUAUUUUCGGUGAUCUGCAAUCAGUCAGAGACUGAAGAGAGUUGUGAAAGCAGAGGUCUAAGACAUUAAAGUCGGGGCUGUUUGGUGGUUGUUGCACCAAUUGAAUGUCAAGAUCUGUUUGUUCCACAGCUUCACGAAAAGAAACAUCAUUAGGAAGGACAUGGGGUUUAGCAUUAUCCUGUUGAAUAAAUAUGGUUGCCCCCUCAUCUUCGUCAGGCCAUUUGUCCUGAAUUGCAGGGAUAACUUUAUUGAUAUGUGUUGUGAGUAGGAGGAUGUGGGCAUAAUGAAGAACAUGGGCUUUGAUGCCUACCGGUUGUCCAUCUCCUGGUCCAGGAUUUUCCCAGAUGGCACUGGGAAGGUGAACCAGGAAGGAGUGGACUACUACAACAGGCUCAUAGAUUACAUGCUCCAGCAAGGCAUCACCCCGUAUGCAAACCUCUACCACUAUGACCUCCCACUGGCGCUACACCAACAGUACCUAGGCUGGCUAAGCCCAAAGGUCGUGUAAGCAUCUCAGCAUUUCACACAGUGGUUUCCUCAUUUCAGAAUUGAAUUUAAGCAUGCCUUUUGAUGAUAUGAAAGGGGCGCAUUUCAGACAAUGGUUUCCUCAUUUCAGAAUUGAAUUUAAGCAUGCCUUUUGUUUUUCUGGUUCUUCUAGACAAGUAGGCGGCGACACGCCGGACGAGGUAGUAUCAUACAAUAGUAUCAUAUGCAUGAUACUACUAUAUGAUACUCCCCACUAUGACCAGCCUAAAGGUUUACCAAACAGGCUUAUGGAAGAAGAAUAUAUUAAAACAAUGACAAUAUAGAUACAAUAUUACUUAGACAGGUACAACAGCUAAAGUUAGCACCUUUUUCGGCAAACUAGUGGCGGAGUUUUACAAGCUGCCCAUAUUAUAGGGUAGGGGAUAAAAAGCUUCAUAAAUUGAAUAACAAAAAUAAAAUUUGUUCCACACGCUACUGAUAUCCCCUCCAAAGCUGAUACAAGUAUCAAAGGAUGUUUGGGGCAGCUGACUUCUGUCUGGGAAAGACAGAUGUCUAUCUACAUGAAAUAUUGUCAAAUCAGCCCAUCCGGAUCUAUUUAACAAGUAGAUGUUGCCUACUGAUAUAAAAUGCACACAUAGCUAUCAGAACUUGGCUGCAUUUUGUGCAAUACAAAAAACUGACGAGAGCAACUCAUAUAGUGUCUAUUUAAAAGAAGAUAAAUACUAGGCAAGGCACCAAAACUAACCACAUUCCUUCGAUACAAAGUAAUACUCCCUCCGUUUCAAAAUAUAAGACCUUUUAGAGAUUUCAC